rnacentral:rRNA from 1 species
UGAGGAAUAUUGGUCAAUGGGCGCAAGCCUGAACCAGCCAUCCCGCGUGCAGGAAGACGGCGCUAUGCGUUGUAAACUGCUUUUCCAGGGAGAGAAACUUGCGCACGUGUUGCGCAAUUGACGGUACCCUGGGAAUAAGCAUCGGCUAACUCCGUGCCAGCAGCCGCGGUAAUACGGAGGAUGCGAGCGUUAUCCGGAUUCAUUGGGUUUAAAGGGUGCGUAAGCGGACUAUUAAGUCAGUGGUGAAAUCCUGCAGCUUAACUGCAGAACCGACAUUGAUACUGAUAGCCUUGAGUUUGGUUAAGGUAGGCGGAAUGUGUAAUGUAGCGGUGAAAUGCUUAGAUAUUACACAGAACACCAAUUGCGUAGGCAGCUUACUGAGCCGACACUGACGCUGAGGCACGAAAGCGUGGGGAUCGAACAG